UACGAAGGGGGCUAGCGUUGCUCGGAAUCACUGGGCGUAAAGGGUGCGUAGGCGGGUCUUUAAGUCAGGGGUGAAAUCCUGGGGCUCAACUCCAAAACUGCCUUUGAUACUGAAGAUCUUGAGUCCGGGAGAGGUGAGUGGAACUGCGAGUGUAGAGGUGAAAUUCGUAGAUAUUCGCAAGAACACCAAUGGCGAAGGCGGCUCACUGGCCCGGUACUGACGCUGAGGCACGAAAGCGUGGGGAGCAAACAGG
rnacentral:rRNA from 1 species